UAUUAUUUUUGUAGUAAAAUGUUAUUUUCGCCCCUUAGAAAUGGCAAUAUGAAAGGAUAGAUGGCAAAAUUGGAGGAGUCGAGGGGCAAAAAAAAUAGAUCAGUUUAAUGAAAAGAAAUCCUCCAGAUUUUGUUUUCUGUUAUCAUACAUGACAGGUAAAUGCAUGAUCCGCCGGGUAUACUUAUAAAUUAUCUUCUAUUAUAAGUUUUAGUUUUUCUAUUUCCUAUCUUGGAGCAGUGAUUGGAAUCCCAUGCUGAUUCGCAAGCAAUGGCUAGAGCUCGUCGUCUUGGACAAACAAAUAAGGUACUGAUUUUAAGACUUGUACCAAGAGGUAUCAUUGAAGAAGGGAUGAUACAGAUAACAAGGAAAAAAAAAUGGUCUUAGAGCAUCUUGUUGUUGGAAAUAUUAAAUCACAUAACAUUAAUCAGGUGACUUAAUCGUGACCAAGCUGGGGAUGAAGAUAAUGUUGUUGAUGAAGAUGAGGACGAUGAAUUCUUAAAGACUUAAUAUAUCGUCAUCCUUGUUUCAAUGUUUUAUUAUCUAUUCCUAUUUUUGAAUAUUAUGAAACUGAUGCAACAAAAGUUGUAGGUAGCACACUUAAUUAUAUAUGUUGAUGAACAAGUUAAAAC